GAAAUGGAUGCAGGGAAGUGGAGGCUGUGUUGGGGGAUGCAGGAGGUCAGCAAGGAAGAGGCUGGAAAAAUGUGUCCUAUUGUCUCAGAUGAGGAACACCUAUAAAAACUUAAAUAUAGUAUGUAAUAUGUAAUUAUAUAAUGUGUAAUAUUAUAAAAUUAUAAUAUAAUAUUAACUAAUAUCUUAAUAUAUAUAAGCUUCAGAUUAUGGUUUCCUAUCUCUUUUAAUGCAUUUAUGUCAAUGUUGUUGAAAUAUUUGCAGAAUUGAAAACUUUGGACUUAAUGGGUUAAGUUAUUGGAAACUUGUAAGGACUAAAAUGUUAAUGAUUAAUAAUCUGUUAAUAUGUAACCUGCUGGGAGUGCCAACACUUUUUAAAAGGACUUUGGAGCCUGGAAGACUUUGGCUCAAAGGUAGUUGGCUUUAUUUUUUUAAUCAUGGAAAAUUUCAAUAAUAUAAUAUACCCUAUGUAUUCAUCUUUUGGCUUCAGUAAUUAAUCACUCAGAGCCAAUUGGGCCUCAUCCACAUUGCCAUUCGCUUCUCCCUUUCUAUAUUGUUUUAAAAUAAAUCUCAGAAACAAUGUUAUCUGAAAGAUUAAUACUCUAAAAAAACCCAUAAUAUCAUCAAUGUCAUCAAUUUUUUUUUGCAGUUUGUUUCAAUCAAGAUCAAAAUGAAAUCCAUACAUGCCAAUGGUUGAUCUGCCUUUUAAGUUUUUGUCUUUUUUUCUUUCAAUGUAUUUGUUAAAACAAAAACACACCCAAGUUGUUUGUCCUUUAGAAUUCCCCAGAGGUAGGACUUUGGUGAUGGCAUCAUUGUCUUGUGGCUUAAUGCUUCCCCAUCUCUGUAGUUGCUGUAGUUUGCUUUGUGGAUAUUGAUCAAAUUCAGGUUCGAUCUUUUGGACCAUUUUGUUGAUGGCAUUAUGUUCCCCAUCAGGAAGUACGUCAUGAAAACCUAGUUGUCUCUUUUUGCAAUGUUUCUACUCAUUGAUAAUAUCAAGAUAGAAAUGGAUUUUAAUAGAGGAAUUUCGGUAUACAAGAAGUUCAAUAGGCACAGCUAUUUUGGAAGACAGAGAAACAGAUGUUUUGGUACUUCUUAUAUGAAAUCUUAAUCAUACAAAGAAGGCAAGUUUUAAUAUUUUUUUUCAUAUAGCAUUGGCUGCAUUAUUCAGUGGACAUUGGCUGAGUGCCUACUAUAUACAGAGAACUGAAGUAGGUGGGUCCUAUGGAGAUCAUGGGAUUGAAUUGGAUAUAGAACCUGUGAUCAGGAGUAUCUAGGAUCCAGCAGAAGAGACAAGAACUCUGAUUCAAGAUAAAAGAGAUCAUCACCAUAAGAAUGGUAGAGGUAAACAUCUGACUUUCUGAGGGGGCCGGUCAAUUCUAACUGGGGGGAAAAAGAGGUCUUUGUGGAGUCCCAUGAAUACUCCCAUCGAGCUGAUCUGGGUGUGAUCUGGAAAGAAAAUGACAAAAAGAAGGGCAUAGAGGCAGGAGAUCCUAGGACAUGUCUGAGAAAACGUGAAUAGUUCCGUUCGGCUCAAAGGAGGGUAAGAAUCACGGGAAAUAGAGUUGGAAAAUUGGGUUUGGAGUGAAAUAUCCACCUACCAUACUGCCCAACCAUUCCUCUCCUAGGCUUUUACUCAAGAGAAAUGAAAUCCAUGUCACUCGAAGGUUUAUGCACAAUGUUCACAGUAAGCAGAAAUGAGAAUAGCAGCAGGUUCAUCUGGGAGCACCACACUGCUGUCUAGAGGGAAGAGGUCCUGAGGUACCCAGCAACGUGGAUCCUCACCUGUCAUUAAUGUGAUUGUGAAUGGAAAAAUAUGUGUGAGGGGGAGACUGGCUGUUUUGGGGGGUUUCGUUAUUUUCUGUACAGAAAGGUUGAAAAAUACAAAAUUUGGAAUUGUUAAGUCUGACUGCAGUCUUGACUUGUCAAAAUAAAGACACAUUAAAAAAAUAAAGAAUGAGAGGAAAAUGCAGA
rnacentral:lncRNA from 1 species